rnacentral:lncRNA from 1 species
AUAAAUAAAUAAAACAGAAAACACACAACACACAACCAAAUGUAGCAGUGAGGCUGGAAGCAAGAUGGAGUCAGUCAUGUUUGAUUUCUCUCCUUACUUAUAAUUCUGCAAAGGAGGUUUCAAUGUUGGGAUGGCAAAUAUUAAGUAUCAACUUGAUUGAAUACAAGAAUGCAAAAUAUUGUUGCUAGGUGUGUCUGAGAGGGCAUUGCCAGAGGAGAUUCACAUCUGAGUCAGUGCACUGGGAGCAGCAGACCCACCCUCAAUCUGGGGGGGCACCAUCCAAUCGGCUGCCAGCCCAGCUAGGAAAAGUAGGCCAAAGAAAACGGAAUGAGUCAACUUGCUGAGUCGUCCAGGCCUUCAUCUUUCUUCUGUGCUGGAUGCUUCCCUGCUCUUGAACAUCAAGACUUCAGGUUCUUUGACUUUUGGACCCUUGGACUUACACCAGUGGUUUGCCAGGUGCUCUCAGGGCUUCCGCCACAGACUGAAGCCUGCACCGUCAGCUUCACUGUCAUAUUUUUCAGGUUUUGGGACUCAGACUGAGCCACUGCUGGCUUCCUUGCUCCUCAGCUUGCAGAUGCCUAUUGUGGGACUUCACCUUACAGUCAUACCCGAUGUGAAGCCUGACUGAGCAGAGUGGAGACCAGCAGCUGCACGUCAAGUGGCCUUCCCAGGACUUGACUCCAUAUGCAUGUUCUCGUCCAUGGGCUCAUACCCAGUCCAAAGGACUUUACCCCAGCUCCAUCUUUGCCCAGACACACUUGAGGCUGCAGGGUUUUGGUAAGAACACAACUGCCAGAUCAAUAAUUGCAUACCAAGUACCAAACUCUGUUUUGAUUUGCCCCAAUAAAGACACAACAUCUGGCACAGCAUCUGUGGUUGGGGCACAAUCUAGCUCUGGUUAUGAAAGUUUACAAUUUCCUGCCCUUGUCUGUGAUACAGUUUGGAUGUGUGUCCCCUCCAACUCUCAUGUUAAAGUGUGAUCCCCAAUGUUGGAGGUGAGGCCUGGGGAGGUGUUUUGGUCAUGGGAGGAGAUUCCUCACAAAUGUCUUGGUGCCCUCCUCACAGUAAUAAGUGAGUUCUCACCCUGUUACUUUGUGCAAGAGCUGGUGACUUGAGUCUGACAUCUCUCCUGUUCUCUGUCUUGCCAUGUGACGUGACUGCUCCUCCUUUGCCUUCUGCCAUAUUGUAAGCUUCCCAAGGCCCUCACCAGAAUCAGAUGCUGGCACCAUGCUUCCUGUACAGCUUAUAAAACCGUGAGCCAAUUAAAUCUCUUUUCCUUAUAAAUUGCCAAGCCUCAGGUAUUCAUUUAUAGCAAUGGAAAUGGACCAACAGAGGUAGUCUGCUUUAUAAUGGGUCAGAACGUGAAUCACAUGAGGAUACGAUAGUGCUUGUUAUUCCUGAAUUUUCCACAUCAUACAAUUCACCUUCUGGGCUCCAUAUAGGGGAAGUGAUUCUGGAAAACGUGGUUCCCACUUCAGAAGGAACAGUGGUGUUGGGGACACGUUGACAACAGAAAGUCUAGCACAGUCCACCCCAUUCAAAAAUAAGCAUCUGUAGACAUUUUCAACUUCCAAAUAAAAGCAGCAACAAUACUAUUUUCCACCUAAUGUGAUGCAACUAUUCAUUUUACAACCCAAAGACCUUUAAUCUUCUCUAUGGAAGAGAUAUUUGAAAAUGCUAGUCCGUCUCCCAGAUGACUAACAACCCCUUUUGCUCUUUCAUGCUAUAAAUACCAAGGAUCAACCAAUAUAAACCUAUAUUACAUAGAGGGGUAUGAAGGCACUGAGACAAAAAGCAGAGGACUCAGUUAAUACAGAAACUAUAUUCACAUCAGCUGGGCAUGGUGGCACAUGUCUGUAGAGCUACUCAGAGGGCUGAGGUGGUAGG